rnacentral:tRNA from 2 species
AAGAAUUUAAGUUAAUUAAACUAAUAGUCUUCAAAACUAAUAAUAUUUGUAUUAAUCAUUUAGUUCUUA